rnacentral:lncRNA from 1 species
CAGUUUCCCAGUAUGGUACAUCUUAACCAAGUGCUUGCCCCAAGGAGAAUGUACAUUAAGAAAAUUUUAUUUGGCUAUUUAAAUACUACUUGAAGACAAAUAAUGCUCUCCUUUACACACACACACACACACACACACACACACUGCAAAGCAUCUUUUAGGGAUGGUGAUGGAGAGUGUUUAGUAUUCUCUAUGUCAAGAUUGCUCUGUUAGUGGCAAGCCCCAUGGCCGAGUGGUUAAGUUUGCGCCCUCCACUUCGGCCAGGGGUUUUGCCAGUUCAGAUCCCUGGCACAGACAUGACAUUGCUCAUCAGGCCAUGCUGAGGCAGCGUCCCACAUAGCACAAUCAGAAGGACCUACAACUAAUAUACAGCUAUGUUCUGGGGGGUUUUGGGGAAAAGAAGAAGAAAAAAGAGUAGAAGAAGAAGAUUGGCAAUAGCUGUUAGCUCAGAUGCCAAUCUUAAAAAAAAAGAUUGCUCUGUCAAACUUACAACAAAGUCAGUUCCUAAACAAGUGAUCUGGACAGGUAUUAAAGAAGUUGGGUCCAAAAUUAGUGAAAGUAUUUCACAAUAUAUAUAAGUCAAGUUAUUUUGCUGUAUAUCUUAAACAGGUACUGGGCUGUAUGUCAAUUAGAUCUCAAUAAAACUGGGGAAAAAUUAGUGAAACAAAAAAAUGAGAAAGCAGGCAAAAAAUCAAUAUGUGAUGAGAUGAUAAGAAGCUGCCUGUGUGGAGUGUCCUCAUUCAGGCACUAAAAUGAGCACAUUAAAUGUCCUUCAUCAUCUUUAUCUCAAAUUCAUUCUACCAUUCAACUAUAGCAUACCCAGACACGUCAGAAUGCAUAAGGGGUAAGUGAAAGAACCCGAACAUUUUUCUAAUUCUACAUAUAACUCCAGUCUGGAGGAUUUUCUUUUGGGAAUCUGUCUCUAGAAAGGCAGUUUUUCUCAGCUGCUUUCAGUGUCAUGAUAGUUUGAUUGAACUUGGGUGAUUCCUUUUUUCACUUUCUUUAGUUUUGGUAAUUAGGGCUGAGCAUUAGCACACCAUACAGAUAAGCUGACAAAUGACCAAAAACAUGUUAAUAGAGGACUGCUCAAAAUUCCCUUGCCACCAGUCAGAAAUAAUUGGUACCUUUCUUCAAGCUUUCCUAAGAGAACGACAAAUCAAGAGGAAAUGCCUUUAUUUCAAAGGAUUUUUAUCAGCUCUGGAUCAUAAAGCAUGGCAAUUUAUUUCUCCUCUUUUAUUCUAAAGAAAAUACAACAACAAUAUUUCUAAGGGAAUACUGAUCAAAGUUAAGGAGUUUAACAUCUGUCAAAGUACAAAUCCCUCGGCAUCUAGAGAAUCUGAGGACGCGAAGCUGCUAAGUGUCUUAGGCUGGUUCCUUCACAGAAGCCACACUCUCUAAGCAAACCACACUUUUGGGUAUGAAGAUGCAGAUGCACGCACACAGAUUUGUCAUUUACGGAUAGAAAAACACCAUGCGGGGGCUGGCCCC